GAUGAACGCUGGCGGCGUGCCUAAUACAUGCAAGUCGAGCGAACAGACGAGGAGCUUGCUCCUCUGACGUUAGCGGCGGACGGAUGAGUAACACGUGGAUAACCUACCUAUAAGACUGGGAUAACUUCGGGAAACCGGAGCUAAUACCGGAUAAUAUAUUGAACCGCAUGGUUCAAUAGUGAAAGACGGUUUUGCUGUCACUUAUAGAUGGAUCCGCGCCGCAUUAGCUAGUUGGUAAGGUAACGGCUUACCAAGGCAACGAUGCGUAGCCGACCUGAGAGGGUGAUCGGCCACACUGGAACUGAGACACGGUCCAGACUCCUACGGGAGGCAGCAGUAGGGAAUCUUCCGCAAAGGGCGAAAGCCUGACGGAGCAACGCCGCGUGAGUGAUGAAGGUCUUCGGAUCGUAAAACUCUGUUAUUAGGGAAGAACAAAUGUGUAAGUAACUAUGCACGUCUUGACGGUACCUAAUCAGAAAGCCACGGCUAACUACGUG
rnacentral:rRNA from 1 species